CAGCCGCCACGGUAAUACGGAGGGUGCAAGCGUUAAUCGGAAUUACUGGGCGUAAAGCGCACGCAGGCGGUUUGUUAAGUCAGAUGUGAAAUCCCCGAGCUUAACUUGGGAACUGCAUUUGAAACUGGCAAGCUAGAGUCUUGUAGAGGGGGGUAGAAUUCCAGGUGUAGCGGUGAAAUGCGUAGAGAUCUGGAGGAAUACCGGUGGCGAAGGCGGCCCCCUGGACAAAGACUGACGCUCAGGUGCGAAAGCGUGGGGAGCAAACAGGAUUAGAUACCCCUGUAGUCCUGUCUCUUAUACA
rnacentral:rRNA from 1 species